rnacentral:rRNA from 1 species
UACGUAGGGUGCGAGCGUUAAUCGGAAUUACUGGGCGUAAAGUGUGCGCAGGCGGCAGAGCAAGUCGAGUGUGAAAGCCCCCGGGCUUAACUUGGGAAUUGCGCUCGAAACUACUUUGCUGGAGUGUGGCAGAGGAAGGUGGAAUUCCACGUGUAGCGGUGAAAUGCGUAGAGAUGUGGAGGAACACCAAUGGCGAAGGCAGCCUUCUGGGCCAACACUGACGCUC